rnacentral:lncRNA from 1 species
UCCUGUCCUACUUCUGAAAGGUACUUUCUCUUCCAGCCGGCCCGUGAGCAGCACACUCGGCCUUGACACCUCGUUCUCUGCCCUCCGUCUCUCCAGUGUCUCAUGGUAAGAAGACACCCGUGAGUUACAGUUCUGUCUCUAAUUUUGAUUGCUUUUUAAAUGGGAGUCAUCAGCCUCGAGCAAAAAAUGGUACCUCAGGAGCUGACCUGGAAAUAAGUCUAUGAUAAUGACACAGGCAAAAUUUUUGCUAACUAAACAUGAAACUUGUUUUCCUUAUCUGUUUAUUGUCCUUAAAAUUAAAGUUGGGACAGAAAAAAUUUAUUUUUAGAUUAUCAAGUUUCUCUGAAGAAGAAAAGUUCUGACAUAAAAAUGAGUGAUCACAGAUAGCUUUUGGCCAUUUUUGAACUAUUUUUGUGCCUUUUUUGUCUUUUUAAGAUCUUGCAAACCCAGUGAGCACAGAAUUAUCAAAGGGAACUGAAGAACAAAUUUUAUUGCGUUCAACUAGUGAUUAGGAGAGGAAAUGAAGAGGAGCUCCUUGGAUACUGUCCUGGACACUCAUCCACACCAGCCUCUGGUUUUCUGUGUAACGAGCCAUUGCAAGAGCUAGCGGCCCGGAGUAACAACUACUUUAUUAUCUAUCACGAGUCUGCGGUUGAUUGGAUUCAGCUGGGAGCUGACCCAUGUGCUCUGGACUGGGGCUGCAGUCUUCUGAAGAUUAGUCUGCAGUGGCCAUGUUGGCUCAGCCACAGGCAGGCCCUUGUCAGAGCAGAAAAGACGGCUGACGCCUUUUGUCCAUCUUCUCCCUGUUGAGAGAGGAUGCUCAGAAAGCUGGACCACUGUAUGUGCCAUCCUUUCUUCACCGUACCAGUGUCUGUCCUGCUUUCCAUGUGAUUUCUCCAGCGGAACUUCUACGGUGGCUCGGGGUCCCAAAACCACACAGCAGAAGCUGCCAGGCCUUCGUAAGAUUUGGGUGUAGCUCUUCCACAUUCUCCUACUAAAAUGAAUGCGCGGAGCCAACCCAGAUUUAACGUGGAAGGGAGUGAAUGCGAGAAGACGCGAUUCACUGGGAAUGUCUCUGGAGGCUGCCCCACCCACACCGCACAGUUCACAGAAACAAUGCUUCUUUCAACUCCACAAGCCUGCCCAUCUGUCACAGGCGAGAAAACUGACCGAAGGAACUCUAUCCUGAGCCAUUGGCCAAGGUCAGACUUAUGAGAUUUAUUCAUAACUGAUGAAACAUAUAGCUAAGUUUUGGAAUUAGUGUAUCUAUUAACCAAUUUUCUAUCUCAUUAGAAUUGUUCUCCCAAAUAGCACAGAUAAUAAUUGCAACAGGU